GCAAGUCGAACGAUGAAGCAGUGCUUGCACUGUGGAUUAGUGGCGCACGGGUGCGUAACACGUGGGAAUCUACCCUAUGGUAAGGAACAACAGUUGGAAACGACUGCUAAUACCUUAUAUGGCUAUGGCUGAAAGAUUUAUCGCCAUAGGAUGAGCCCGCGGUGGAUUAGCUAGUUGGUAAGGUAAGAGCUUACCAAGGCUACGAUCUAUAGCUGGUCUGAGAGGAUGAUC
rnacentral:rRNA from 1 species